rnacentral:rRNA from 1 species
UACGUAGGGGGCAAGCGUUGUCCGGAAUCAUUGGGCGUAAAGCGCGUGUAGGCGGCUAGAUAAGUCUGCUCUGAAAGCCCGGGGCUCAACCCCGGGAGGCGGGUGGAUACUGUCUAGCUCGAGUCCGGAAGAGGAGUGUGGAAUUCCUGGUGUAGCGGUGAAAUGCGCAGAUAUCAGGAGGAACCCCAGAGGCGAAGGCGGCGCGCUGGCGCGUACCUGACGCUGAGACACGACAGCAUGGGGAGCGAACAGG